AUAGGAGGAGUCGCUAGAACACACGAGAGCCACUUCUUCUUCACCAUACAGACGCCUAGAUAUAUACACAAAAAACAAAAAGCUGCGCCGGAAACACCAAAAGGCUCCCUUGUCAUCAUCUUCUUCAGAGGAGAGAAACAAACGAACCAAACAUCUCCACCAAAAGUUGAAGCCUUCAGUCGUUUGGGCACUCUAAUCUAAAGCGCCGCUGAAUACAAACACAUCCCCUCCCUUUUGAACUUCAUCUUCUCCAGAUUACUUUCAUAACAAAACACCCCUAAAAACCUAGAGCCGUUAGAGACAGGAGGAGGAGCAGCCAUCUUCACCCCAAAAAAUCCUAAGCUCCAUGAACAACCAAUGAAGACCCUAAGAUAUGGGAGCAGCGGUCGAUCUCUCACGCAAAAACAUCAGUCGUUUGGACCUAGGGAGAUCCAAUAACCAAUGAUUCUUCAGCUUCUUCUGGAUCUGGACAUGUAACGCACAGUCGAGACUUUAGCCAUUCAAAAGAAACCAUCUUCAGCACAUUAAAAAAAAACAGCUGAAUCUUUAGCCAUGUAAAGCUCUAGUUCCGACCACUAGAAAUCGUUUUUGUUUUGUUGGCUGAGCUUCGUAGCUUUCUGGCGCUUGUGUAUCAAAAUUAUCGUAGAAUUAAGCUUAAGAUUCAUGGAGACGUAGCUGACUGAGGUUUGCUCCCAUUCAAGGUAAUCGUUUCGAGGUUGUCCGAGGUUUUUUUUCGGGCAGAUUCACAGUUCCAUCGGGUUUAUCACUGUCCAAAAUUCUCGGAGUUAGACAUUUUCAGAUUCGAAAAUUACUUUGUGUUAAGGUUUAGUUUUAUCCCUUCAUUGCUCUUACUGUUUCUUACCAUUCUAAAUUGAUAAAUUAUUCUUUGAUUUGAAAACAGGAAACAAGUGCAAUCCAAAACAAUCAUGCAAAAACAAGUGCAAUAAAAGCAA
rnacentral:lncRNA from 1 species